UUACGGAAGGCAGCAGUGGGGAAUCUUCCGCAAUGGACGAAAGUCUGACGGAGCAACGCCGCGUGAGGGAUGAAGGCCUUCGGGUUGUAAACCUCUGUCUUCAGGGAAGAAAAAAAUGACGGUACCUGAGGAGGAAGCCCCGGCUAACUACGUGCCAGCAGCCGCGGUAAUACGUAGGGGGCGAGCGUUAUCCGGAAUCAUUGGGCGUAAAGGGCGCGUAGGCGGAUAUUUAAGUCAGGUGUGAAAACCCAGGGCUCAACCCUGGAUCUGCAUCUGAUACUGGGUAUCUUGAGGACAGGAGAGGAAAGUGGAAUUCCUAGUGUAGCGGUGAAAUGCGUAGAUAUUAGGAGGAACACCAGUGGCGAAGGCGACUUUCUGGACUGUAACUGACGCUGAGGCGCGAAAGCGUGGGGAGCAAACAGGAUUAGAUACCCCGGUAGG
rnacentral:rRNA from 1 species